CCUACGGGGGACAGCAGUGAGGAAUAUUGGUCAAUGGACGAGAGUCUGAACCAGCCAAGUAGCGUGAAGGAUGACUGCCCUAUGGGUUGUAAACUUCUUUUAUAUGGGAAUAAAAUGUUCCACGUGUGGGAUUUUGUAUGUACCAUAUGAAUAAGGAUCGGCUAACUCCGUGCCAGCAGCCGCGGUAAUACGGAGGAUCCGGGCGUUAUCCGGAUUUAUUGGGUUUAAAGGGAGCGUAGGUGGAUUGUUAAGUCAGUUGUGAAAGUUUGCGGCUCAACCGUAAAAUUGCAGUUGAAACUGGCAGUCUUGAGGACAGUAGAGGUGGGCGGAAUUCGUGGUGUAGCGGUGAAAUGCUUAGAUAUCACGAAGAACUCCGAUUGCGAAGGCAGUUCACUGGACUGCAACUGACACUGAGGCUCGAAAGUGUGGGUAUCAAACAGGAUUAGAUACCCGAGUAGUC
rnacentral:rRNA from 1 species